ensembl:snRNA U2 U2 spliceosomal RNA
ACCACUUCUUGGCCUUUUGGCUAAGAUCAAGUGUAGUAAAUGAAUAUAUCAGCAAGUGAGAAAUUCACUUUUGUCUCCACCUUGAUUUGGAUCUAGACUAGAUUCGAGGAAUCCUCAUUAAGCUUUUCAGAUCCCAUGAUGUUAACGUGGAUCAACUA